rnacentral:rRNA from 1 species
UAUUCGUAAAGGAAAUAAAGAAUCAAUUCAGGAGGCGUCGGGGAGAUAGUAGCAGAGGGUGUUUAGCGGCGGUGGCUGGUUGAGAAUUGAGGGUGUGGAGCUGCAGCCGGGAGGGGAAGGGGAGGAGAAUGGAGCGUCGAAGCCGUCGACGGCCUAGGCGGCUUAGGGGGUGGCUAGGUAGGGAGAUCGUCGUGUAGAGAGGGAGAGAGCACACUGGGGAGCACGGCGCCGGUUGCGGCCGGUUAAGGCGGUUGCGGGGGGUGACGCGUCGUCGGAGUGCUCGACGAGAGGCUGGGGAGGCAGGCGGUUCUACCGACCUAGGCGGCGAGGGCCAGUGGCCACGAGCGGGGCGUUGUGGAGCGGACACCGACCCCAAUGUCGGUACCGCAGCGCAUGUAGUGCCCGCACAGAGGCCACCGCUGAGAGGCAGCCUUUUUCACGGGGGAGUGCGGGAGAGGUGGAGAACCUACCGCGAGGGAUCGAGCCGCGCGAGCGUACGCAACCUGACCUGCGGCCGCUACGCAGGAGGAGACAGUGCAGAGGCCGCGUCGAUACGUGUACACCGCUGGAGGAGACGGAGCGCUUCGGCCACCGGUUGGAAGCGACGCUCGCGACGUAGCGGAUGUUUGGCUCGUCUUGUACCCACAAGACCUCGUCUACGACGAACCAUCUCGUUCGUGUCCGCGGUACUUUCCCCUUCUUAUUCUCAAGAACGUGUAUUGUACAAACUACUUUAUGUUCGUGGUCUUUAACUUGAGUAGAGGUUCGAUACGAAAUACUCUCCGAUUCUGACAAUGUAAUAAAACAGGUCAGGUACUACGUUCUAAGUAAGUAAACACUAACAACGUUAUUGCUAAUAACCGGUUUUCGUACCAACACACACCAAGGACGACGACAUGACACCAUAACCAAAAGAAGGCGGACGGACUACACCACUACGAAACCACACGGAUAACAAGCGUCUCUAAUUGGUUAUAAACCCUCUACACCACCGAGUGGGCUAGCCUUUGUAUUGUUCUACUUCCUCGAAUUCAUAUCGGUGUAGUCCCGCUGGACCCUCGUUCCUUCAAAUACACACUAUCCUCUACUAGCGGUAUUAGACCCACGAUUUCCGGAAACCUUUGUCUUGUUCUACUUCCUCGAAUUCAUGUCGGUGUAGUCCCGCUGGACCCUCGUUCCUUAAAAUGGACACUAUCCUCUACUAGCGGUAUUAGACCCACGGUUUCCGGAUCCCCUAAUAUUGUACCAAAAAAAUAUCUUUCCUGCGAGUACGGCAUCGAAUGUCAUGGUCCGUUGUUAGAAGACAACUAAUGUCACGGUUUUUGAGGUCGUCCGGUGUCCUGAGGAUGCGGCGACCACGGACAGUUGCAGCGACGGCUACGGGACGUAGGCUAACCGACGGUUCCUUAGGUGGUUGGGCAGGGUUAUGUGCACACAUAGGGUGUAGUACUCGAGGAGCUUCCACUCGUCGACCGGGUCGGAGCGGUACAUUGUGUGCCAGAACCAUCACCUCUACAACAGUAACAGUAACGCCAGCUUCCACACCUCGUAUCCCGCACUCGUGGUCGUACUACCACACGCGGUCGAGCAGCUUGAGCCUCCGGGCGACUGUAAACGUAGCUACCGGUCGUCGUCUUCCUGAGGAGUGGGCCGCCAGCGUUCGAAUACCCCCACCUCACCCCGUAGCUCGAACUCUAGAGGACCGAGAACAGUGCAGUAGUGACUGAGUCUGGUCUUCUCAAGACAACACAAGCCGCAGUGCGGGAGGUGUCGGACGCUACCACUAGUGCUACGGGGACGUCUUGCUGCGCGGCUGCGGACAGCGACGGGACGUAGGACGAGGCGCGACACUGGUCACGACGGUGGGACGAGACGCAACACGGGAGCUAUCCGCGGUAGGAACCUGCGGUAGAGAAGGUUGGAGAAGAAGGGAAGGCCUAACUAUGAUCGCGGGUCGAAGUUUUUACUAGGCACAACAACCGUGGUAAGGUUUGACUUUAGUUAAUGUAUGAGUUCCGUCAAGAUCUACAGACGUUCAAACACUAGGCGUUUAUAAUAUCAGUUUUCCUAAAGUUAACACUAUCCGGCAUCGAAGUGAAAUGUACGAGUCCGAAACAUCGACCUAGUCCACUUAGACAAAACAGCACACUUAUGGUCAUUUCACUUUGUCUUCGUCGUGUGUCCGCGCAGAAGAACGAAAAAAAUGAACGACAUCGACCUAGUAAUCGAACUUGCGUGUCGUUAGAUCGGAUAAGGACAGGGGGUACUAUAGAGAAGAAUUAAACCAUCUAGUACAAAAACGUUCUACUGUCGUGGUAUACACAUCGACCUAGUAAUCGAACUUACGUUUCGUUAGAUCGGAUAAGAAAAGGGGGUACUAUAGAGAAGAAUUAAACCAUCUAGUACAAAAACGUUCUACUGUCGUGGUAUACACAUCAACGACUGACACAAAUAUAGCGUUUUUAUAAUACCAAAGUUC